rnacentral:rRNA from 1 species
GAUGAACGCUGGCGGCGCGCCUAACACAUGCAAGUCGAACGAUUAAAGCACCUUCGGGUGUGUAUAAAGUGGCGAACGGCUGAGUAACACGUGGGCAACCUGCCCCUCUCAUUGGGAUAGCCACGGGAAACCGUGGAUAAUACCGAAUACUUCGGGACUUCCGCAUGGAAGACUCGAGAAAGCUCCGGCGGAGAGGGAUGGGCCCGCGGCCUGUUAGCUUGUUGGUGGGGUAAUGGCCUACCAAGGCAAUGAUGGGUAGCUGGGUUGAGAGAGCGACCAGCCAGAUUGGGACUGAGACACGGCCCAGACUCCUACGGGAGGCAGCAGUGGGGAAUCUUGCACAAUGGGCGAAAGCCUGAUGCAGCGACGCCGCGUGCGGGAUGAAGGCCUUCGGGUUGUAAACCGCUUUCAGCAGGGACGAGGCGAAAGUGACGGUACCUGCAGAAGAAGCCCCGGCUAACUACGUG